rnacentral:rRNA from 1 species
CCUACGGGUGGCAGCAGUGGGGAAUUUUGGACAAUGGGGGCAACCCUGAUCCAGCCAUGCCGCGUGCGGGAAGAAGGCCUUCGGGUUGUAAACCGCUUUUGUCAGGGAAGAAAUCUUCCGAGCUAAUACCUUGGGAGGAUGACGGUACCUGAAGAAUAAGCACCGGCUAACUACGUGCCAGCAGCCGCGGUAAUACGUAGGGUGCAUGCGUUAAGCGGAAUGAGUGGGGGCAAAGCGGGCGCAGACGGUUGACAUCCCCGGGAUUAACCUGGGAACUGCACUUGUGACUGUACGGCUGGAGUACGGCAGAGGGGGAUGGAAUUCCGCGUGUAGCAGUGAAAUGCGUAGAUAUGCGGAGGAACACCGAUGGCGAAGGCAGUCCCCUGGGCCUGUACUGACGCUCAUGCACGAAAGCGUGGGGAGCAAACAGGAUUAGAUACCCCUGUAGUC